UGAACGCUGGCGGCGUGCCUACUACAUGCAAGUCGAGCGAACAGACGAGGAGCUUGCUCCUCUGACGUUAGCGGCGGACGGGUGAGUAACACGUGGAUAACCUACCUAUAAGACUGGGAUAACUUCGGGAAACCGGAGCUAAUACCGGAUAAUAUAUUGAACCGCAUGGUUCAAUAGUGAAAGACGGUUUUGCUGUCACUUAUAGAUGGAUCCGCGCCGCAUUAGCUAGUUGGUAAGGUAACGGCUUACCAAGGCGACGAUGCGUAGCCGACCUGAGAGGGUGAUCGGCCACACUGGAACUGAGACACGGUCCAGACUCCUACGGGAGGCAGCAGUAGGGAAUCUUCCGCAAUGGGCGAAAGCCUGACGGAGCAACGCCGCGUGAGUGAUGAAGGUCUUCGGAUCGUAAAACUCUGUUAUUAGGGAAGAACAAAUGUGUAAGUAACUAUGCACGUCUUGACGGUACCUAAUCAGAAAGCCACGGCUAACUACGUG
rnacentral:rRNA from 1 species